GGUGGUUUGUCGCGUUGUUCGUGAAAUCUCACGGCUUAACUGUGAGCGUGCGGGCGAUACGGGCAGACUAGAGUACUGCAGGGAGACUGGAAUUCCUGGUGUAGCGGUGGAAUGCGCAGAUAUCAGGAGGAACACCGGUGGCGAAGGCGGGUCUCUGGGCAGUAACUGACGCUGAGGAGCGAAAGCGUGGGGAGCGAACAGGAUUAGAUACCCUGGUAGUCCACGCCGUAAACGGUGGGUACUAGGUGUGGGUUUCCUUCCUUGGGAUCCGUGCCGUAGCUAACGCAUUAAGUACCCCGCCUGGGGAGUACGGCCGCAAGGCUAAAACUCAAAGGAAUUGACGGGGGCCCGCACAAGCGGCGGAGCAUGUGGAUUAAUUCGAUGCAACGCGAAGAACCUUACCUGGGUUUGACAUGCACAGGACGCGUCUAGAGAUAGGCGUUCCCUUGUGGCCUGUGUGCAGGUGGUGCAUGGCUGUCGUCAGCUCGUGUCGUGAGAUGUUGGGUUAAGUCCCGCAACGAGCGCAACCCUUGUCUCAUGUUGCCAGCGGGUAAUGCCGGGGACUCGUGAGAGACUGCCGGGGUCAACUCGGAGGAAGGUGGGGAUGACGUCAAGUCAUCAUGCCCCUUAUGUCCAGGGCUUCACACAUGCUACAAUGGCCGGUACAAAGGGCUGCGAUGCCGUAAGGUUAAGCGAAUCCUUUUAAAGCCGGUCUCAGUUCGGAUUGGGGUCUGCAACUCGACCCCAUGAAGUCGGAG
rnacentral:rRNA from 1 species